CAGACUCAUUUUACAUUUUUGUCCUUUGUUGUGUUAAUCCUAUGGUAGUAAUAAUACUACUACAAAAUAAUGGUUUUCUAAAGUCUAUCUUUAAUA